AAUCAACGCUGGCGGCGUGCCUCAGACAUGCAAGUCGAACGAUUAAACUUUCCUUCGGGAAAGAUAUAAAGUGGCGCACGGGUGAGUAACACGUAAGUAAUCUACCUUCGAGUGGGGAAUAACAUCGGGAAACCGAUGCUAAUACCGCAUAAUGCAGCGGCAUCGAAAGAUGACAGUUGUUAAAGGAGCAAUUCGCUUGAAGAGGAGCUUGCGGCAGAUUAGCUAGUUGGUAAGGUAAUGGCUUACCAAGGCUACGAUCUGUAUCCGGUCUAAGAAGAAGGUCGGACACCCUGACACUGAAUAACGGGUCAGAGUCCUACGGGAGGCAGCAGUCGGGAAUUUUGGGCAAUGGGCGAAAGCCUGACCCAGCAACGCCGCGUGAAGGAUGAAGUAUUUCGGUAUGUAAACUUCGAAAGAAUGGGAAGAACUCAAUGACGGUACCAUUUAUAAGCUCCGGCUAACUACGUGCCAGCCGCCGCCGUAAGAC
rnacentral:rRNA from 1 species